rnacentral:rRNA from 1 species
UUUAAGCAUAUCACUCAGUGGAGGAAGCCCAAGCAACUGCGGUUGCUGCAGUAACGGCGAUUGAACUGGCCUAUGCCCUGGGUGUUUGCCUCUGGCACACCGCGGCUCAACCCGAAUGAGACGGCCUCUGCAGGUCGGCUAUUGUGGUCUCUGCAAAUGCUGUGGGUUGUCAUAGGAGCCGGUGGUGAUCGACUGCGGGCUGGCUGUUGGCGCAAGGGAAAGGCCCUGGAAUGGCCUACCCCAGAGGGAUACGGUCCCGUACUUGACACACAAGCGCUAAUGGCUGUCUGUGGGCACUUCACUGCUGGUAUCCAUGAGUAGAGCGGCUUGGGACUGCAGUUUGAAAGUGGCAGGUGUAUCCCUUGCCAAGGUGGAAUACCAACGUGGGACCGAUAGCGCACAAGUAGAGUGAUUGAAGGAUGCAAAGGACUUUGCAAAGAGGGUUAAAAGUCCCUGAAGCCUCGGCAGGAUCGGCGGUGAGUGGUGCUGUGGCAAACUUCCCAAGCGCCCUUGGGUCAGCCCGAGGCUGGCUGCGGAGCCUGCCCCUGUCUCCCCUCUGGGGAGCUUGGGUGGAUGCUCCUACUCGCAGCAGCCCUGCGGUGGCAAUCCUGCUUGCCAGGACCCGAGGCUCUGUUGAGAGGCAGUGGGUGAAAGAUGACCCUGCCAGAGAUAUACCAAACCAAAGCUGCUGGGUGUGAGAGUCCCACACUCUUCUGGGUGCUGCCUGAUGCUCUGAUGCUAUGGUGAUAUUCAGUGGAAGAGGGGUCUGGCCACCCCUGGAGUGCGCACAACUGGAACUGGCACAGUGAUGAAUCUCGGACUGCCUGUCGGCCUGCGGGCCUCGGGUGGGGCGAUGUCUGGAUUGCGGAGGAGCCGGCUCUCGCGCUGUCGCUCCGCCUUUCGGGUCGCUUCCCCCGGGCGUGUGGGCCUGUCUGGUGAGAGUGUGAGCUCUCGGUGGGGUGGUGGUGACCCACCAAGUGUCAGAGCAGACGAUGGAAGAGCACAAAGGAGGUGUGUGGAGCCCUCUCCCUGGGGAAUUGCCACAUCAUGCCAAAACCUGGUGUGUCUCCGGGCAUGCCAGUCAUCAGUGCCCAGACACGGUUCUGGGGCUGCCGGUUGUGUGGGAGUUGCACCACAUUGAUGGUGGCUGCUGCGCAUCUGUGUGGCCCCCCGGAUGGAGCCUGGUGUGGAUUGAGGCAUUCUUACCGCGCGGCAGUGUGGAGCUUGGUGUGGAAUCAGCGCCGCUCCCUGCCCGUCUUGAAACACGGACCACGGAGUCUUUGGAGCUUGCAGGUUUGCUGGUGUGAUCUUGGAAAACCCAGCCUCGGCUGGCCCUCCGGUGUGCGCCACAUCACGACACAGCUGAAACGAGAAGCGAUGAUGCAUGGUGGCCUCUCUCCUCUCGCGGAGAGAAUGCAUCGCAAGGACGGAGCAAGUGCUGUUGUCACAUGUGAUGGUGGCUCACAGGGAGUGGCAGUUCAGAGGAGAUGGGGCAUGGUGAAGGCAUCUCGGAUCCCGAGCCAUCCCAGACUGGGGGUGUGUUGGGGCAACCUGGCACACAUCACAUCUGCAUGGGACACCGGACCCGCAGCCGAUUGGACAGGGUUUUGAGUGCUUGCAAGGUCCAAGGGACCCGAAAGGUGGUGAACUAUGCCAUGCAAUGGCGAAGCCGUGGGAAACUGCGGUGGAGGCCAGUCUCUGUUCUGACGUGCAAAUUGUGUAGCCUGAGCUUGGCAUAGGGGUGAAAGGCCAAUCGAACCACCUAGUAGCUGGUUUCCCUCGAAGUUUCCCUCAGGAUAGCUGGGCUCGAGUGCAUUCCCUCCCGGCCUAGUGGGAGCUCUGACCGAUGUGGCUCUGGCCACAGAGAGAGCGGUUCUCUCGCCAGGCAUUUCUCCGAAUGUGGUUACGUCCGGUAAAGCAACGCAUGAGAGGCAUUGCGGGGAGGCUUCCCUCCUCGACCUAUCCUCGAACUGUGAAUGGGCGUGGUGUGGGAGACACCACUAUACCCUGCACAAGGCACGCUUCUUCAGUGAAUGCUGCGAGUCCAGGAAGUCCUUCACCUGGUGCUCCGAAUGCUUCUGAGCGUGUUGCCCCUGAGGCAAAAAAUGGAGCGAUGCCCGAUGCCUUCUCCAGUCUCUCUGCUGUUGUCUCGGCCACCGCCCGCUGGGCUUUUUGUGAUGACGGAGUUCUGCUGUGGGUGCUGCAUCACGCUGCACAUUUGCAGCAAGAGGAGCCUGAGCUGCCAGCCCAGUUGGGAGAGUGGCUUUGCACACAGAGCGAAGUUGCAUUGCUAUUCUGGACGUGUUGCCACUGCUUGGAGAGAUGCUAUCCGGCUGAGCGAAACCCUGUCUCGAACUGGUGAGAGACAGCCACAGUGGGCGGCUGUGCAGACCCCGGAUGCCGCGUGGAGCGGGCGACUGAGGGUGGUGCAGUGGAGGCCUGGCUCCCGCCAGGCCCCUGCAUGGACACCCCAGCAGAGGCUUCUGCUGUUGUUGCCUGCCCAUCCAUCCUCGGGAUGCUUGCUGCUGCUGGGCUGGAACUCCGUCUGCCAAAGGGAACAAACUGAGCCUAUGUGGGCCAAUACUGGUAAGCAGUGCUGGCGAUGCGGGGUGCUCCGAGAGUGGACUUACAGAUCCAGAGUGCUGGCUCAUACACAGAUCCCACAAAGGAUGUCGCAUGCUAUGGAUAGCAGGUCGGUGGCCAUGAAGGUUGGAACCCGCUGAGGAAUGUGUAACAACUCACCUGCCGAAGUGUGCGGCUCCGAAAAUGGAUGGUGCCCAAGUCAGUGAAGCCUUGUUGCUGUGAAGCCUCACAGUCCACCGUUGCUGUGACCAGCUGAGCAGAGCAUCACCGUGUAGGGAGGACACGGAAGACCCAAGCUGAUCAAGUUGGGGCUGCCCCCGACUGGAGCGUCUUCUGGCGCAGAUCUUGGUUGCAGUAGCGAGUACUCCAUCGGGUGAAGAGCGGGUCAACCCCGCUGUGUGUGGUUGAGGACUGGAGUGGAGCAGGUUUCCGCACCAACAGCCGUUGGAUGCGGGUCAACCGACCGUGAGCCAAGUGGUAAAUCCAUUGAGCAACCAAAGCUGCCUAGCCUCUGGGCAGGAGUGGCAAACAGGCAAGCAGUUGCAACAUUCUGCUGUGGCGGGCUGGGGCUCAUCAUUCGAUGCUGGGUGGUGACGCCUGACAUGACUGGGAUCCGAGCAGGCUGCGGGGCAGUGCACCCCUCGAGGAGUUUUCGUUUCCUUCUGAUGCAGGUCUCAUGUGGGCUGUCGAUUGGCAUGACAGAUGGUGGUGCAAGCCCUCCGGCCAGCAAGGCAGCGUGCUCUAUGCGCUGGCAGAGUUGCAGAGUCCUCAGAGAAAGGGGCGCCAUCAUUUGAACCGUGCCGAGAGACACGUGUGAGUGAUCAAAACCAGAAGCCCGACAUGUGGACAUCCGGUGGACACUGGCCCCACAGAACUGCCUGCGAGGACUUGGGCCCUGGUCCCUUGCCCUCGUACCGAAUCACCGCAGCCGGUCUCUCCGGCUAGACGCCGCUGGUCAACGGAUCGAAUGCAGCUAAGGGAAGUCGGCAAACUAGCCGCGUACCUUUGGAAGAUGCGGUGGCUCCAGAGGCCAAGCCACGGGGUCCCACCACGGGCGGUGGCUGCGUGGAUGGRAAGGGGUGGCUKCCCCUCGCGGUGUGUGUGGUUUCGGCCAUGCAUUCCCGUGGGUGGGAAGGCUGCUCUGAACCUGACCCAGCGCCGUUCGAAACCCAACCGAAGCUGGCAAGUUGUUGAGACGAUGUGCAGUCGCACUGGCAAAUGGACAGACCCUUUCCUGCUGGAGAAGACAGGGUUGUGGCCCUGGGGAACCGCACCCUGAAGUCGAAACCCGACACACACACGGCCGAAGUGCCGAUGCGAUGGAGAGAGGCAGUGCUGGCAAACCGACGAGAUGAAAGGCCGAGAGUGCCUGAUGAUGCAAAGCAGUGCUGGGACACAUCAUUCAUGGGAACUCUGUAUGGAUUGGGAGCGAGCCCACGACUCCCUUCUGCAAAGCCAAAGCCUGGCAGCCACUUCGGUGGUGUGGCCUCGCGCCCCUGGGAUGUGCUGCCCGUGGGCCUUCAAACCCUCACGUGCGCCUCCCGUACUCCGAGCCAUCUGGCUCGUUUGGCGACAAGGACAUUGCAGUGUUGGAGUGCCACAGCUUUCCCAGGGAUGUGGAUCAGAUGGGGAGCUUGUGGGCUCGUUCCCUUCCGGCCUUCGGUGUUGCCUCGCACCACAGUCUCAUCAGCAGUGGGAAUUGGAAUGCCAAGCCAAAGCGACACGCCAUGCGGAUGCUGAACUGGCUCCGGCCAGAUAUCAGAGGGAAAGAAGCAUUGCCAGAAGGACAGAAUCGCAUAUCACUCAGUGGUGGGGGGUGUUGGAAGGCCCGUCAUGGUCCCCCUCGGGGGUUCCCAGCGGAUUGACCGCACCCAUCCCCGUGGCUGAAAGGUGGCCCACAUGGAACUGUUGCUGCGCAGGGGAAUCUGACUGUUUAAUUGAAACCCAGCUUUGUGACGGGUCCAGCUGGCUGGACCCGCGAGGUGACUUCUGCCCAGUGCUCUGAUUGUCAUGGCCAAGAGAUUGAGCCAAGCGCGGGUAAACGGCGGGAGUAACUAUGACUCUCUUGAGGUAGCCAAAUGCCUCGUCAACCAAUUAUUGACGCGCAUGAAUGGAUCAACGAGAUUCCUGCUGUCCCUGGGUGCUCUCCGGUGAACCCACAGCCAAGGGAACGGGCUUGGGC